GGGCAGGGGGCUAUAGUGGAGUUGGAGUCAUGGAGAUCACAUCUGGUUGGCUCACAGGUGCUUGGGUUACAGAAGGUUUGGGCAUUAGGCCAGGGAGCUCAUGGGAGUUCAGGGAGGUUCCAGAGCUGAGGGAGGUCAGGGCAGAAGGUUUCUCAUGCUUCUUCUGUUCCCAGGGUGACCGAGGCUUUGACGGGCAGCCAGGCCCCAAGGGUGACCAGGGCGAGAAAGGGGAGCGGGUGAGUUGAAGCCAUGGUCAUGGUGAAUUGAGGGGAGCGUGCACUUUGGGAGAGGGUCCAUCUUUGGGGCCUCUGAUUACUGACUCUGUCCUAUAUCUCCCCAGGGAACCCCAGGAAUUAGGGGCUUCCCAGGCCCCAGUGGAAAUGAUGGCUCUGCUGGUCCCCCAGGGCCACCUGGCAGUGUUGGUCCCAGAGGCCCCGAAGGACUUCAGGGCCAGAAGGUAAGGGGCCCCAGCUCUGACUCCUGAUCCCUGAACCUUCCCUACCCUUCCAACCUCAUAACCAUCUUCCAGCCUGCCUGCCCCAACCUCUGAAGCUGUGGCCCCCAACCUGCCUGACUCCUGAUCCCCACUGCCUCUGACCCUGCUCACUUGGUCCCUGUGUCUGACAGGGUGAGCGAGGUCCCCCUGGAGAGAGAGUGGUGGGGGAUCCUGGGGCCCCUGGAGCUCCUGGCGAGAGAGGGGAGCAGGGGCGGCCAGGGCCUGCUGGUCCU
rnacentral:sRNA from 1 species